rnacentral:RNase_P_RNA from 1 species
AAAGUAAACGAGGUAAUCGCCGGUGGACAACCGCAAGGUGCCACGGGAGGAAAGUCCGGGCUCCAUAGGACAGGGUGCCGGCUAGCGGCCGGUGGGGGCGACCCUAAGGCUAGUGCCACAGAAAUGUAGACCGCCGAUGGAGACGAUUUGUCUCACAGGUAAGGAUGCAACGGUGCGGUAAGAGCGCACCAGCAGCAUGGAGACAUGCUGGCUAGGUAAACCCCACCUGGAGCAAGACCUGAUAGGGAAUCAUAUGCUGUGGUCCGCAGCGAUUCCGGGUAGGUCGCUUGAGCUAUAUAGCAAUAUAUAGCCUAGACAGAUGAUUGCCACUCCAUGAGGUGGGAGGUAUACAAGCUACCACUAAAACCACUAGGAGUACAGAACUCGGCUUAUUGUUUGCUUUCCAU